rnacentral:rRNA from 1 species
UACGAAGGGGGCUAGCGUUGCUCGGAAUUACUGGGCGUAAAGGGCUCGUAGGCGGCCAACUAAGUCAGACGUGAAAUCCCUCGGCUUAACCGGGGAACUGCAUCUGAUACUGGAUGGCUUGAGUUCGGGAGAGGGAUGCGGAAUUCCAGGUGUAGCGGUGAAAUGCGUAGAUAUCUGGAGGAACACCGGUGGCGAAGGCGGCAUCCUGGACCGACACUGACGCUGAGGAGCGAAAGCCAGGGGAGCAAAGCGGG